CACCGCUUUAAAUGAUCUCAGCAGAGAGAGAGCGAGAACACUUUCUAAAACAAUAAACUAAUCAACGUCGGAAACCGAAGAAACAACUCGCCUUACAGGGCACCGAAGGGCCAAUCGGGCCUCACGCAUUGACAGACAGUCUAAUGGGCAUCGCCGGUUGGUCCUCUUCUAACUGGACCUGAGCCCUAGGACCAUGCCUCAGGACUACCUGGCAUGAUGACUCCUUGCUGUCCCCAGUCCACCUGGCCGUGCUGCUGCUCCAGUUUCAACUGUUCUGGUCUGCGGCUAUGGAAUCCUGACCUGUUCACCGGACGUGCUACCUGUCCCAGACCUAUUAUUUGACCAUGCUGGUCAUUUAUGAACAUUUGAACAUCUUGGCCAUGUUCUGUUAUAAUCUCCACCCAGCACAGCCAGAAGAGGACUGGCAACUGGUUCCUCUCUAGGUUUCUUUCUAGGUUUUGGCCUUUCUAGGGAGCUUUUCCUAGCCAACGUGCUUCAACACCUGCAUUGCUUGCUGUUUGGGGUUUUAGGCUGGGUUUCUGUACAGCACUUUGAGAUAUUAGCUGAUGUACAAAGGGCUAUAUAAAUACAUUUGAUUUGAUUUUGAUUUCAUGUUUAUUUUGGCACUCUUUUUUUUAGACUUAGUCUAAUCUUAGUCAUUUUGACUAAAAUAUAAUUAACCACUUCUGGGAAAAUUGGGAAACACUAAACAAACAACAACACGAAGAGUUAUCUAUCCAAAAUAGAGAUGUAUGGGUAAACCACUUCUCCAAUCUUUUUGGCUGUAUGACAAAGAACCAACCGCAAAAACAUAUACAUGAUCAAAUACAAAUCUAAGAAUUAACUAUUAAAGAUGACCAGAACCCACUGGAUUAUCCAAUUACAUUGAAUGAACUACAGGACAAAGUACAAAACCCUCCAACGCAAAAAGGCCUGUGGUGUUGAUGGUAUCCUAAAUUAAAUGAUAAAAUAUACAGACCACAAAUUCCAAUUGGCAAUACUUAAACUUUUUAACAUCAUCCUUAGCUCUGGCUCAAUAUUUGGAACCAAGGACUGGUCACCCAAAUCCACGAAAGUGGAGACAAAUUUGACCCCAAUAACUACCGUGGGAUAUGCAUCAACAGCAACCUUGGGAAAAUCCUCUGCAUUAUCAUUAACAGCAGACUCAUACAUUUCCUCAGUGAAAACAAUGUACUGAGCAAAUGUCAAAAUGGCUUUUUACCAAAUUACCGUAUGACAGAGCACGUAUUCACCCUGCAAACACUCAUUGACAAAGAAACAAAACAAAACAAAGGCAAAGUCUUCUCAUGCUUUGUUGAUUUCAAAAAAGCUUUUGACUCAAUUUGGCAUGAGGGUCUGCUAUAAAAAAAAUGGUAAGUUGUGUUGGGUGGAAAACAUACGACAUCAUAAAAUCCAUGUACACAAACAAAAAAAGUGUGCGAUUAAAAUGUGCAAAAAACACAUUUUUUUCCACAGGGCCGUGGGGUGAGACAGGGAUGCAGUUUAAGCCUCCACUCUUCAACAUACAGUACCAUCAAAAGUUUGGACACGCCUACUCAUUCCAGGGUUUUUCAUGUCAGACCCACUUCACCAUCUGUUUUACACCACCGAAGAUCCCUCAUCCAUUAGGAUGAUCUACUGGGGGACUGGUAUUGGGUAUUAUUAUAUUAAAUAAUAGUAGUUGAGACUCUGUCUCCUAUGUAGGUGUAGGUUAACAAUACUUCCAGUGGAAUGUGGGGCUGGCCCAUAGAUAGAUAGAUAGAUAGAUAGAUAGAUAGAUAGAUAGAUAGAUAGAUAGAUAGAUAGAUAGAUAGAUAGAUAGAUAGAUAGAUAGAUAGAUAGAUAGAUAGAUAGAUAGAUAGAUAGAUAGAUAGAUAGAUAGAUAGAUAGAUAUAGAAUUACUAGAAAGGACAAAGCCCCUCAGACCCCAGCAAUUUGCCUGGAACACUCACAGUUUCACUCAAUGUGAAUGGGACUGUCUGUUCUAGUAAUUCUAUUUCUAUGGUGUGAAUUGUUUCCCACCCCGGGGCGAUAGCCCUGUAAUCCAGAUCUCUGGUUCAGAUUACAGCAGGGGGAUUAGGUCUGUCUGACUGGCUGCCUGCACCAAACACUCUGACGUCCACCAUCGCUCCCCACACGUCAUCAUAUCAAGUCCUCAUAUACCCCAAUGUAUAUUGGUAAGGGACUCCUAUUUCAGGAGUGUUGUUAAUCUGUCUUUGUUCCUAGUUCUUUACUAUGGCCAUUCAAAUACAACAAAUGUCCUUUUAACAGAUGUUACAAACGAUGUUCACUACCGUUCAAAAGUUUUGGGGUCACUUGGAAAUGUCCUUGUUUUCCAUGAAAUUAGUUACAAAAUGAAUAGGAAAUAUAGUUAAGACAAUGACAAGGUUAUAAAUAAUGAUUAUAAAUAUUAUACAUUAUAAAGGUUAUAAAUAAUGAUUUUGAACUGAAAUAAAAAUUGUGUCC
ensembl:lncRNA